GCCUGGCUGGCUCAGUCAGUAGAGCAUGCGACUUUUGAUCUCAGUGGUUUGAGUUCAAGUCCCACACUGGGCA
rnacentral:tRNA from 1 species